AAACAAUUAAUAUGUGAGAAAGUAAAGUUUUGAAAAUGGAGCAAGUUUUGAAUAUGAAAUUUUUUUAUUUUUAAAAAAAUGUUUGUUUCUUUGUAGGGAUGAUGCCACGAUAUUGUUGAUCGCGCUCCUCCACCAUAGAAACAAUUUUGAUUUGAGGUCGGUCUAAAAAUAGUUUAUAUUUUUGAAAAAAAUGAUUUAAAAGAUCUAGUUUACAUGUAGGCACAUAAACAUUUACAUAUAAAUGCACAUAAUUCCUUUUGAAAUUCAUGGGUAGGUGAUACUUCCGAGGAUGCGUCGGGUUUAAAAAAUUGGAACUAGACCUCAUACUUCCUUUGACUUUCCCACUAACGAUAGGUUAGGAGAUAGUACUUAUAAUUUACUUUCAAAAUAAACAAUGUCAAAAUCAAUCCAAAGUUUAAAAGGAAGAUUGAAUAAUGACUUUUUAAGAAAAUUAUGCUACAAG
rnacentral:misc_RNA from 1 species